AUAUGUGAAUCCAUUGUGAGCUUUGGCCCUAGAUUUGAGCCGCCUUCUAAACAUGACCUUCAAGAGACUUUGCUGAGUGAUGAACAUGCAAGAGUGAAGAGUUUGCUACAGGAACAUGAUGUUGAAAAGAUGAAGAAUGGCUGCUCCAUUAUGACUGGUGCUUGGUCUGAUAGGAAGAGGAGAAGCAUAAUCAACUUGAGCACAAAUUGUGCGGAUGGUUCAACCUUUCUAAGGUCGAGUGAGAUGGAUGUUGUAUCACACACAAGUGAGGUCAUCUUCGAACUAGUGGAUGAAGCAAUUGAGGAAGUCGGUCCUGAAUUUGUGGUGCAAGUAGUGACUGAUAAUGCAUCUAAUAACAUGGGAGCAAAGAAGAUGUUGGAGAAGAGGCCAAACAUGUUUUGGAGCUCUUGUUCGACGCACACGAUUAACUUGAUGUUGCAAGGGAUUGGUAAUCUGCCAAGGUUUCUUAAGGUGCAUGAAAAAACAAAAUCAUUCACUAUCUUUGCCUAUGGGCACACACAGACCUUGGACUACAUGAGGAACUUCUCUUCAGGGAAAGAGAUCAUAAGGCCAAGGGUCACUAGGUUUGCUUCUUCUUAUCUAACUUUGGAGAGCCUUCCAGGCAAAAAGGAUCAGUUGAGGAAGAUGGUGGUUGAUGGUAGGUGGGAUAGGCUGAGAGAAGUUAAAUCAGAAAAGGGAAAGGUAGCAACUGCCAUGACGAUGAGCAUGUCUUUUUCGAAAGAUUUGAAGCUUUUGCUGAAUGUCUUUGAGCCUUUGGUUAACGUUUUUUGUUUGGUUGAUGGGGAUGUUAAGCCAUAUAUGGGUUUUGUGAAUGGAUAAAUAGUUAAGGCAAAGAAAUAGAUCAAGGAAGUCUAUGGCAAUGUGGAGUCCCGUUAGAAAGAUGUGAUUGAUAUUGUUGAGAAUACGAUGAAAGAUCGACUUGACUCCCCAUUGCACUUGGCUACAUACUUACUAAAGCCAUAUUAUAUGACAAGGGGUGGCCCGAUCUUCUCAAUGUGCGGAUGA
rnacentral:rRNA from 1 species